rnacentral:lncRNA from 1 species
CACCGUAUAAGUUGGGGAGCUGAGAGCCUUCAGCUCAUGGUGAGCACGUCUGGCCACACGGACCCUUGAUGUCCUACAGUGAGGUAUACGUGCUAUCUUGGGCCCAGCAGCCUUCCAGGAGCUUCCCUUCCCAUGCUGUGUAUAGUUCUCUGCAGCAAAUGGAAGAGCGUUGCUUUGAGAAGCCGAGAUGCUGCGUGGUGGUCCUGUCAUUGGGACUUAAUCAAAGAGCCCACGUGACCCCUCUUCCUCACAUGGCCUUGGAUCUGCUGGCACCCAUGGCCCAAGCAGCAAGGCUGCUUUCACGGAAAACUGGACCUGCUGCAAAGCCUUCUCCUGUUGUGAGCUCUACUAAAGCUAGAAACCUUCCAGGUCACCUUAUAAUGGCUUCACGCAGUGGACCUCAGUGUGGAACAUUCUGCAAGCAAAACCUAAGAGACCUAAGAAGUGGUGUGCUGCUUGCUUACAGGUGGACUGUUCAUGAGUGUGGAUGUCUGCAAAAAUGGCGUGACUUUCCUUAGAAUCAGAGCCACACCCUAUGUCUGAUUCCUUUCUUUAACCUUUUAAAUUUGUGGAGAAAUUUUUGUGCACGGCUUUAUUUUAUUUAGAAAUCUAGAAUGAGAAAGUGUUUGUCUCCAUUCUGAGAUAUGGAUGUAUGUGGGUGGACAGGUGGAUGUUUCUUGUUUCCGAGUCACACCAUCUAGGAGGAAAUAAGAGAUGAAUUUUGUUGGAGUGCCAUUAGGCACUGGGCACAGUGCUGGCUGCCAUUCUUUCAUCUGCAAUGUGCCUGGGACCCCAUCUCCUUUGGCAGAAAUGUGGCUGUCCUCACCCUUGAAGAAUGCCAACUCAAAGCAGUGGAAGUCGCUUUGAUUCAACCUGCCUUUUAAUAGUAAGGGGUCAGGUCCUGACCUUCGGGAAACAUGGUCUUCUAGGAACUAUGUUAGAAAGUACAGCCAACUUCAGCCUGUGGUCACGUCUUAGCUUUUUCUCACAGAUGAUCCUACCCCUGAGGAUGUCCGGGGUUUUCACCACCUCAUCAUUUCUAGACGUCACCAGAUCCUCGCCCAGUUGUGGCCACUCCUGCCACACCAUCCUGUUUGCAGUCACGUCCUACUGCUGCUGUAACAAAUGACCACAAAUUUGACAGCUUAAAAAUGAGACAGGACACCUGAGUGGCACAGUCGGUUAGGUGUCCAACUCUUAUUUUCAGCUCAGGUUGUGAUCUCAAGGUUGUGAGAUCAAGUCCCAGGUCAGGCCCCACCCUCAAUGUGGAAUCUGCUUGUGACUCUCUCUCCCUCUCUGUCUUCUCCCUCUGUCCCUUCCCCCCAUGCUGUCUCUCUCUCUCUCUUUCUCAAAUAAAGAAAUAAAUAUUUAAAGAGAGAGAGAGAGAUUUUUUUCUCUUACAGUUCUGAAGGCGAGAAAUUCCAGCAUUGCCUUUAUUGGGCUAAGUCAUGUUGUUUGCAGGGGGCUGCUUCCUUCUGAAGGCUGUAGGGAAGAAUCUGUUUCCUUGCUUUUUCUAGCUUCUAACACUGUAUUUCUUGCAUUCUUGCUCCGUGGACUUUUCUUUCAUUUUCAAAGCCAGCAGCAUAGCAUGUUCAAAUCUCACUCUCUCUACUUCCAUCUUCUCAUUACUUUCUCUCUUAGAAGAAUCUUGGUCAUUGCCUUGGGCCCACUUGGAUAAUCCAGGACCAUCUUCCCAUCUCAAGAUGCCCAACUUAAUCACAUCAGCAAAAUCCCUUUUGCUAUCUACUAUAAUGGUCACAGGUUCCAGACAUCAGGUCAUGGACAUCCUAAUGUCCAUGGGAGCGGGGAGUGGGGAGCUGGAGGGCAGGGGCCAGCAUCCAGCCUACCGUACCACUAGAUGCUGGCCAGCUGCUACAUUUUCAGGUGCCCUAAAUUCAACACACUGGUUCUUCUCAAGAGGGCUUUGUACUAUCUUAACACAUACAGGAGGUGGCAUUUUUCUCUUACAGUAAUAGGGCAUGAGAGCUGGAAGUAGAACAGUCUAGCAGGAUCUAAGGUCACACAGUCUGGAUUUUGAUCCUGGUUUCUGUCCCUCAACCACUCACAAGCUAUGGGAUCCCAGGAUAGUUCCUUGACCUCUCUAAAUCUCAGUGACGUCAUCUGUAAAAUGACAUCUAUCUGCCAGAGUUGUUGUGAAGGGUAAAUGAGACAAUGCUUGUCAAGUGAUUCGUGUGGUGCCUAGCAUACAGAAAAAUAUUUGAUAAUUAUUAGUUCUUAUUGGUAUUAUUGGUCUAUCCACCUUACUUUACAGAGAAAAACCAGAGGCUUAGAAAUAUGAAGUGAUUUAUCUUUGCCUCACACUCUGGACCUCAGAAUCUACAGACAAGGAUAAAACAGUGAGGUGCAGGAGUUAUUUGGACCCCACUGAGAUCUCCCCUUCCUCUACCUGCCCAAACGCUGCCACUGUUACCUUGCUGGUGCCAUCCUCUACACCAUUCCAGAACAUUCCACACAUUCCACAUGUGGUGCCCCCAUUUUUCUUUCAAUGCUUCCCUUCUGCAGAAUGGCUAACAUUGGUUUGUCCUUCUCCUCUCCCUACAGGCCCACAAACCUGUUUCAGAAACACUUGCUGCAGUUUUGAUUAAAGUUCUAUAAAAUCUCAUUGCUACUGCCAACUGAAUUGGAGUGUCUACUUCGUAUUUUUAAAUUAACAUGUUCAAGACCAUGUGCGCCCUCACUCCUUAUCCCAGUGGCUCCUUCCUGAAUGAUGCUCAUCUCAAUGAGUGGUGACAACCUAUCUUCCACGUUGCUCAGAACCAACGCUUGAGUGACUCCUCUCUCUCAAACCUUGUGUCAGCCCUGCCAACAAGACUUAGACCGUGUAACUUCUCCCUUCAAAUCUGACUUCUUACCUCUACUGACACCAGCAGUCAGUCCUAGGUGCUGUCCUCUCACAUCUGGAGCAUCGCCAUUGAGCAAAUCUUCUUGUCCCCUUCCUUACACCACAAACCUACAACAUAAGUCAGAUUAUGUCACUUCAUGGGUCAACCCUCUUCAAUGGCUUACCACUAUUCUUAAACAAAAUCCAAAGUCUUUGUCACGCCUGCAAGGUCUUAUGUGAUUUGCAUACUUCUCUGAUCUCAUUUCCCUCCGUUUCCCCAUUACACCUCUUAAGUCACAUCAGUCUUCUCGCUGUCUUGGAAGUGCUCUAAGGGCAUUCCCACCUCAGGACCUUUGUAUGUGCUGUUUCUUUUGCCUAGAAUACCCUUUCCUUCUAGAUAGCCUCAUGAGUUGUAUCCUCUCUCCAUUCAGAUCUUUGUCAAUAUCAUGCCACACAAUGUGAAAAAACACUUUCAUAACUUUAUUUUCUUUAGAGUACUUGUUAUUAGAUGCCAUUGUAUUUUACAUUGGUGGUUUAUUGAUUUAUCAUCUGCCAUACCCACUAGAAAAGAAGCUCCAAGUUCACCAUUGUGUUUUCAGCACCUAAAACAGGAUUUGAUUUAUAGUUGACACUCGAUGCAUGCUUUUUAAUAAAAAUUUUUUUUAGAAAUGCUUCCUUGUGUUUAAGAGCAUUCUGCAUGCUUUAUAUGUAUUGAUUAUCUUAAUCUUCCUAAUAGCUUUAUAAGAUAGGUAUUAUUAUUAUCCUUCCUUUAGAGAUAAGAGACAGCUCCC